GAGAGAGAGCGUGAGCCGGGAAUGGAAAGACCGGUACAAGCGAGGUAGGAGAAGAGUUGGCAAAUCCGCUCUUUAAUCUGAAGCCGUGAUGUGGACUGAAAAUAAGUAGGGAAGCACGUGAGCUGACUGUCAAGAAAAGCCGCUAUUGUUUGCAGGAUACCCGUACCGUAAACCGACACAGGUGGAUGAGGAGAGAAUCCUAAGGCCGACGGGAGAAGCAUUGUUAAGGAACUCGGCAAAAUGACUCCGUAACUUCGGGAGAAGGAGUGCCAGUAAGAUGGCCGCAGAGAAUUGGCCCAAGCAACUGUUUAGCAGAAACACAGGUCUAUGCAAAACCGAAAGGUGAGGUAUAUGGGCUGACGCCUGCCCGGUGCUGGAAGGUUAAGGGGAGAGGUUAGCGCAAGCGAAGCUUUGAACUUAAGCCCCAGUAAACGGCGGCCGUAACAAUAACGGUCCUAAGGUAGCGAAAUUCCUUGUCGGGUAAGUUCCGACCCGCACAAAAGGCGUAAUGAUUUGGGCACUGUCUCAACAAUGCACCCGGUGAAAUUGAAAUACCAGUGAAGAUGCUGGUUACCUGCGCCAGGACGGAAAGACCCCAUGGAGCUUUACUCCAGCUUGAUACUGGGAUUCGGUAUUGCAUGUACAGGAUAGGUGGGAGGCUAUGAAAUGGUAACGCCAGUUGCCAUGGAGCCAAUGUUGGGAUACCACCCUUGCAGUACUGGGUUUCUAACCAGCAGCCGUGAUCCGGCUGGGGGACAAUGUCAGGUGGGGAGUUUGACUGGGGCGGUCGCCUCCGAAAGGGUAUCGGAGGCGCUCAAAGGUUCCCUCAGAAUGGUUGGAAACCAUUCGAAGAGUGCAAAGGCAGAAGGGAGCUUGACUGCGACACCGACGGGUGGAGCAGGUACGAAAGUAGGACUUAGUGAUCCGGUGGUAUAAAGUGGGAUUGCCAUCGCUCAACGGAUAAAAGCUACCCUGGGAUAACAGGCUUAUCACUCCCAAGAGUUCACAUCGACGGAGUGGUUUGGCACCUCAAUGUCGGCUCAUCGCAUCCUGGGGCUGAAGUAGGUCCCAAGGGUUGGGCUGUUCGCCCAUUAAAGCGGUACGCGAGCUGGGUUCAGAACGUCGUGAGACAGUUCGGUCCCUAUCCGGCGUGGGCGUAAGAUAUUUGAGAGGAGCUGUCCUUAGUACGAGAGGACCGGGAUGGACUGGCCGCUGGUGUAUCUGUUGUCUUACCAAAGGCAUAGCAGAGUAGCCAAGCCGGGAAGGGAUAAACGCUGAAGGCAUCUAAGCGUGAAGCCCCCCUCAAGAUGAGAUAUCUCAUAACGUCAAGUUAGUAAGACCCCUUGAAGACGACGAGGUAGAUAGGGCAGAGGUGGAAGUGUGGUAACACAUGGAGCUGACUGUUACUAAUAGGUCGAGGGCAUAACCU
rnacentral:rRNA from 1 species